UACGUAGGGGGCAAGCGUUGUCCGGAAUCAUUGGGCGUAAAGCGCGUGUAGGCGGCCCGGUAAGUCCGCUGUGAAAGUCGGGGGCUCAACCCUCGGAUGCCGGUGGAUACUGUCGGGCUUGAGUACGGAAGAGGCGAGUGGAAUUCCUGGUGUAGCGGUGAAAUGCGCAGAUAUCAGGAAGAACACCAAUGGCGAAAGCAGCUCUCUGGGACGGUACUGACGCUGAGACGCGAAAGCGUGGGGAGCGAACAGG
rnacentral:rRNA from 1 species